CUGGCAUGUGCCAGAGGACUUUUAUGGGCAAGCAGAGGGGGCUUCAACCACAAGUCCUACAUGGGAGAACUCUGAGAGCAGAGAAACCUGUGGGAGUCAGGAUUCAGGCAGCUUUGGGCCAGAAGAUUUUGGCUUUAUUCAACAGGAAACAGAGUCUUGGAAGACUUUAAAGAGAUGUGGUCUGCUUCCCAUAAUGAUUCGUCUGGUGCCAUGUGGAGUUUGCUGAUGCCAGGCCAAAAGAGGGAAACUUGAGACGGUCCAGAGGGAUGCGGGACUGAAUAAAGGCAGAGGAAGUGGGGAUGAAGAAGGAAAGAGUAGACUGGAUGGAACAUGGUGGCCAAUUUGACGUGGGAAGUGGACAGAAGGAGGAAUCAUGGAUGAUGACCAGGUUUCUGGCUUGGGCAACUGGCUGGAUGGGAGUGAUAUUAACAGAGGAAUGUGCAGGAGGGAUGAAGAUUUCUGGGGGGAAGACAAUGAGUUGAAUUUCAGACAUGAUGAAUCUGAGGUGCCAGGGAACUUACAAAUAUCCAACAGGCAACUGGGUACAGGGACCUGGAGUUCUGUUGGCAUCAUCUUAAAAAUGUAUCCCGACUCAACCAUCUCUGACCACCUCUACUAUUACCACCCUAGUCCAAGCCACCACACUGUCUUACCUGGAUUAUUGCCAUAGCCUCCUAGCUAGUCUCCUGGCUGAUGCAUUUGACUUGGUUUUUC
rnacentral:lncRNA from 1 species